rnacentral:rRNA from 1 species
AACGAACGCUGGCGGCGCGCCUAAUACAUGCAAGUCGAGCGAGAAGACGUAGCAAUACGUUUGUAAAGCGGCGAACGGGUGAGGAAUACAUGGGUAACCUACCCUCGAGUGGGGAAUAACUAGCCGAAGGUUAGCUAAUACCGCGUACGCUCCUUGGACUUCGGUUCAGGGAGGAAAGCGAUACCGUGGGUAUCGCGCUCUUGGAUGGGCUCAUGUCCUAUCAGCUUGUUGGUGAGGAACGGCUCACCAAGGCUUCGACGGGUAGCUGGUCUGAGAGGACGAUCAGCCACACUGGCACUGCGACACGGGCCAGACU